rnacentral:rRNA from 1 species
GACGAACGCUGGCGGCGUGCUUAACACAUGCCAGUCGAACGGAAAGGCCUGCUUUCCCUUGUGGAUUGCGGGUACUCGAGUGGCGAACGGGUGAGUAACACGUGAGUGAUCUGCCCCUAACUUGGGUAUAAGCCUGGGAAACUGGGUCUAAUUCCCGAUAGGACUGCAGGGUGGUGCCUGUGGUGGAAAACGAUUUUCUAGUGGUUGGGGAUGAGCUCGCGGCCUAUCAGCUUGUUGGUGGGGUAAUGGCCUACCAAGGCGGCGACGGGUAGCCGGCCUGAGGGGGUGGACGGCCACAUUGGGACUGAGAUACGGCCCAGACUCCUACGGGAGGCAGCAGUGGGGAAUAUUGCACAAUGGGCGGAAGCCUGAUGCAGCGACGCCGCGUGGGGGAUGACGGCCUUCGGGUUGUAAACUCCUUUCGACCGCGAGGAAGCCACCUGGUUGGAAGGGUGGUGACGGUAGUGGUAGAAGAAGCACCGGCUAACUACGUG